GUGUUGUAUGAAAGAAGAGGUUAGCACUCCCCCUGAUAAGGAUGGAAGAGGUCCUAGUGGCCUUUACAAUACAUAUACAGUUAAGGCAUUGCCACCUACUUCGUGGCAUCUAACCAUGUUUUUGA
rnacentral:ncRNA from 1 species